UAUUAAACCUUCCAAACUACCUCCAUUUCUUCAUUUAUCAACUAAACAAAAUCUCUUUCCUUCUUACAUUUAAAGGUCUUCUACCUUUAAAUUGUUUUUCUACAGUUUAGUGUCAGUUACAGAAGAUAUUUAAGGUUAUGUAUAUUUCAACUUCCAUAUGAUUAAGUGGUGAAGUUUUUUCAGUUAUCAUAUUAGUUGAGCAAAACUAAUUUCUUCAAAUGGCUGGAAAAUAGAGUAGUAUAAAUAGGAGAAAAGAUCAAAAAAAGGAGAAAAAAGAUAAAUAGGUUUCUUGGCUUUAGAGAGUGCCAAGUCCGCUUGUCUAUUUUCCUCCUUUAUAUAUAUAGAUUUGAGGAGUAAGCUCCUUUUAUAGAUCAUGCUUUAAGGCAUGCUCCCAAUUCUUUUCUUUCUUUUUAACCCUUUUUCUUUUUAAAUUUUAUCGCUUAAAUCCCUAUAUAACCGAUCUCUGCCCUAUUCUCUUUGCUGAACAAUUCCUGAGGCUUUCUCAGGCAAGCAGGGGUGUUCAUAAUUUGAUUUGGAUCCGAUUUUUCUUAAAAAAAUACUAAACCAAGUAAGUUGGUUUUUCAAAUAUUAGAAUCAAACCAAACCAAACCAAUUAAUCGAUUUUUAUCGAUUCGGUUUAUAUCGGUUUUUCAGUUUUUUUGGCUAUUUGUCGGUUUUUCCUUAAAUAUAAGACAUACACUACCAAACACACAUCCGGCAAUCACAUUUUCAAUAUUACACUAUCAAAUCAAUUGCCCUUUGAAAAAUAAAUUAUUUACCAAGAUAUAUUGAUGAUAAUUGAAUCAAAUAGUGAUGGAUAAUAUGAGACGAGGGUCGAUUGGAAACAGCCUCUCUGCCCUUUCGGGUAGGGGUAAGGUACAUAUUACUCUCCCCAGACCCCACUAUGUGGGACUAUACUAGGUAGUUAUUGUUGUUGUUGUAGCGAUGGAUAAUUUAAGGACUCAAUUAAAAUAUAUUAUUUUUAACACAAAAAUGGAUUCUUACGCUAAACAAAAGAAAACUACCAAUCAAAUUAGAUGUAAAGGUAAAGAACUAUAUUAAAAAUGCAAACUAUUAACAUUUAUCAAAAAAAAAAUUUGAAACUUUGUAUAAAAAUAUACAUAUACAUAGAUGUAAUAAUAAAUUUGAAAUAGUUACUCCUAUAGUCGGUUUGGUUCGAUUUUUUUCUAUUAAAACCAAAACCAAACCAAAUUUGGUCGGUUUUUAAAAUUCAAAACCAAAAUCAAACCAAACCAAAAAGUAUCGAUUUUUUUGGUUGGUUUGGUUUGGUGUUUGGUUUGGUUCGAUAUUUCGGGUCUUAAUGAACACCCUUACCAGCAAGCUUUCUAAUCAGUUACACACAAAAUUCCU
rnacentral:lncRNA from 1 species